CGGGUGGCAGCAGUGAGGAAUUUUCCGCAAUGGGCGAAAGCCUGACGGAGCAAUAUCGCGUGAAGGACAUGAAGGCCUGUGGGUUGUAAACUUCUUUUUUUAGGGAGGACAUUUGACGUGUACCUAAAGAAUAAGCAUCGGCUAACUCUGUGCCAGCAGCCGCGGUAAGACAGAGGAUGCAAGUGUUAUCCGGAAUUACUGGGCGUAAAGCGUCUGUAGGUUGUUUAAUAAGUUAAAUGUUAAAUCUUAAAGCUUAACUUUAAAAUCGCAUUUAAAACUGUUAAACUAGAAUAUCGUAAAGGUAAAGGGAAUUUCCAAUGGAGCGGUGAAAUGCGUAGAUAUUGGAAGGAACACCGAUGGCGAAAGCACUUUACUUGACGAUUAUUGACACUCAGAGACGAAAGCUAGGGGAGCAAAUGGGAUUAGAUACCCGAGU
rnacentral:rRNA from 1 species